rnacentral:rRNA from 1 species
CGGCUCUGAGUAAAGUGGCGCACGGGUGAGUAACACGUGACUUAUCUACCUCCGAGUGGGGAAUAACUGAGGGAAACCUUAGCUAAUACCGCAUAACACUUACGAGUCAAAGCAGCAAUGCGCUUGGAGAGGAGGUCGCGGCAGAUUAGCUAGUUGGCGGGGUAAUGGCCCACCAAGGCGAUGAUCUGUAUCCGGCCUGAGAGGGCGCACGGACACACUGGAACUGAAACACGGUCCAGACUCCUACGGGAGGCAGCAGUGGGGAAUUUUGCGCAAUGGGGGAAACCCUGACGCAGCAACGCCGCGUGGAGGAUGAAGUCUCUUGGGACGUAAACUCCUUUCGAUAGGGACGAUAAUGACGGUACCUAUAGAAGAAGCCCCGGCUAACUUCGUGCCAGCAGCCGCGGUAAUACGAGGGGGGCAAGCGUUGUUCGGAAUUAUUGGGCGUAAAGGGCGCGUAGGCGGUUUGGCAAGUUUGGUGUGAAAUCUUCGGGCUCAACUCGAAGUCUGCACCGAAAACUGCCGGGCUUGAGUAUGGGAGAGGUGAGUGGAAUUUCCGGUGUAGCGGUGAAAUGCGUAGAUAUCGGAAGGAACACCUGUGGCGAAAGCGGCUCACUGGACCAUUACUGACGCUGAGGCGCGAAAGCUAG